UACAGAGGGUGCAAGCGUUAAUCGGAAUUACUGGGCGUAAAGCGUGCGUAGACGGUUACGUAAGUCAGAUGUGAAAGCCCCGGGCUCAACCUGGGAAUUGCAUUUGAGACUGCGUAGCUAGGGUGCGGAAGAGGGAUGCGGAAUUCCAGGUGUAGCGGUGAAAUGCGUAGAUAUCUGGAGGAACACCGGUGGCGAAGGCGGCAUCCUGGACCGGUAUUGACGCUGAUGAGCGAAAGCCAGGGGAGCAAACGGG
rnacentral:rRNA from 1 species